rnacentral:rRNA from 1 species
GGGUGAGUAACGCGUAGGAAUCCACCCAAUAGUGGGGGAUAACCCGAGGAAACUCGGGCUAAUACCGCAUGUGAUCGGUGAUGAAAGCGGGGGAUCCGCGCUAUUGGACGAGCCUGCGUUGGAUUAUCUUGUUGGUGAGGUAACGGCUCACCAAGGCGACGAUCCAUAGCUGGUCUGAUAGGACGAUCAUCCACACUGGAACUGAGACACGGUCCAGACUCCUACGGGAGGCAGCAGUAGGGAAUAUUGUGCAAUGGGCGAAAGCCUGAACAGCCAUGCCGCGUGUGUGAAGAAGGCCCUAUGGUUGUAAAGCACUUUCAGCGGAGAAUAAAACGUUACCCGAGAAGAAGCACCGGUUAACUCUGUGUCAGUAGCCGCGGUAAUACGGAGGGUGCGAACGUUAAUCGGAAUUAUUGGGUGUAAAGCGCGCGUAUGCGGUUCGCUAAGUGAGGUGUGAAAUCCCCGGGCUCAACCUGGUAA